UACGGAAGGCAGCAGUGGGGAAUAUUGCACAAUGGGCGCAAGCCUGAUGCAGCCAUGCCGCGUGUAUGAAGAAGGCCUUCGGGUUGUAAAGUACUUUCAGCGGGGAGGAAGGGAGUAAAGUUAAUACCUUUGCUCAUUGACGUUACCCGCAGAAGAAGCACCGGCUAACUCCGUGCCAGCAGCCGCGGUAAUACGGAGGGUGCAAGCGUUAAUCGGAAUUACUGGGCGUAAAGCGCACGCAGGCGGUUUUGUUAAGUCAGAUGUGAAAUCCCCGGGCUCAACCUGGGAACUGCAUCUGAUACUGGCAAGCUUGAGUCUCGUAGAGGGGGUAGAAUUCCAGGUGUAGCGGUGAAAUGCGUAGAGAUCUGGAGGAAUACCGGUGGCGAAGGCGGCCCCUGGGACGAGACUGACGCUCAGGGU
rnacentral:rRNA from 1 species